rnacentral:lncRNA from 1 species
UGAUAGACUGCUUGACUAUCGACGAAUCUCCAUACUACCUUCUACAGCCAGACGCCCGGCGCGUUCUCCAGUAGGAAAGCACGUAAUACGAUAAAAAGUGGUGAACCCGACGUGAAAGCUUGAGGUAGAAGGUAGUGGAUUUUGGUUGAUUUUAUCUUUAUUUUUAUGGAAAACGAAAAUAAAAAUUUUGAAGGAUUUUUGGGAGGAGUUUCUGGUAGGGAGUCUUCUAAAGGACAAGGUAUGCACAUGGAUCCGUCUAUUGCUAGUUUGUUUCAAGCCUUCUCAUUGUCAAUGCAGCAACAGCAAAGCAAUGAUCGAAAGGAAGCUUUGGCAACCAAAGCAUUGUAAGCAGUGGUCAAUAAAAUUGAUCGAUUUGAUGGGAGGAAUAUUUCAAGGUAUUUAAGAUGUUAUGUUCGUGAAAUGGAAUUAAAUCGGGUUUCUGAGAAGAAAAUGGUUGCACUAUUUGGACUUGCCAAGAUACCGGAGAUAAGGGACCACAUUACAUCGAUUACGGAUCGUUAUGGGAAUUCAUGGGAGGAUUUUUCACAUGCAUUGAAAGACGAAUAUUUCUUGGAAGAUGCUGAUCACGUUACUAAGAAGCUGUUUCUGGGAUGGAUUGAACGGCCCAAUAAGAAUUUGCAAGCAACAGAGCUACUAAGGGAAUUUGAGAGGCAGUACUCUCAAUUAUCAAAGGUAGAAAAAUUGACAUUGGAGCCGAACAAAGUUGAUCUAUUUCUUCAAGCUGCUGAUGGAGAAUUGCAAGAGAAAUUAGAACCCCUUCUUGAAGACAAAGAAGAAGAUGAAGGAUUGACAACGAAGUGGAAGAACGUUGAAGAUGCGGUGGGGUUGCUUACAAAAAAAGAAAGGAGGAAGGAUAGGAGUAAUAUUCCGAAAACAGUACAAGCACCCAAAGCUCCAGUACGUACAACACCACCAACAAUGCCUACAGCUCAACCUUCGACAUCCUUGUCAAAGAAAGCAGAUAUGGAUAUGGAAGAAAUUAUACGAGGAAUGCAAGAUCUUCAAAUCAAAUUGACAAGACUUGAAGAGAAUACUUCUAUAAACAAUUCGAAGAAUGUUUCAAAGCAAGGAUAUGUACAAAGAUGCAUUUGGUGUGAUGAUGCUUCACACACUAGAAAAGAUUGCAAAGGAAUUUAAUAAUAUGAUACGGCAGGGAAUUAUUUGCUGGAAAGAUGGGAAGAUAGCAUUGGAAAAUAGAGAGGAUCUUCUUCAAACCAAUUUUAGCAAGGGAGGAAUGAGAGCAUUGGUUCAAGAUUACUUAAAGAAGCAUGAAACAGUAGCACGAGAAAGUGCAAGUUAUGGUGCUAGAGUAGAUGAUGAAAUUGGUGGAAGUACGGAAACUAGUGAGUUUUGGGCUUCUGUCGUUUCUACAAUGCAAGAAGAGAAAUUACCUCGAGAAGCGUUAUUGAGAACUGCAGCUACAAUACGAGGUAGAACAGGUUGGGAGGAUCCCGUUGAGUCUCUUUCAGUUCAUGCAUAUAUUGCUAAGAGCCAACAUGAAGCUUUGAUGGAAGAAAAGAGACGUGGAAAUUUUGAUGAUACUAGAGAAGGAAAUUCUUUUAAGAGGCAAACUCGAGGAGACAAGGCUCGGGAGGCAGCUUCACAAGAAUUGCCUGUAAAGGAUACCUCAUCAUCAUUGGAAGAAAAAACAACGGAGACAAAAGAUAAGGACAAAUCAAUUGCUUAUAAGCUACUUUCUGACAUUGAAGCGGCAACAAAUUUGAAAGGGGUAUUGGAAGAACGUAUAUUAAACGCUAAGGUGGAAUUCACAUUGAAAGAAGUCUUGGGAAUUGCAAAGAAGGAGUUUCAUGAUGUUAUCAUUGACAGCAUUAAGCGAAAGAGGCAAUUAAUGGGCGAAAUUGGAAUGAGUCAUGCCAUUGAUGCAAGAAUAUGUAGAGACGAAGAAGAGGUUGAUAUUGGUUACAAGCAACCAACAAAUGAAAAGAAUGGGUAUAAUCAGCGAGUACGUUUCGAAGAUUCUAGUGACAAGGAAAUGGAAAAUUUGAGCCAUUAUAGUCGAAAGCAUUGGGCAAGGGCAACUACUGAGGUAUUGGUGAAGGUAGGAGAUAUAGAAGAACCAAUAGUUGCUUUGGUGCACCAUGGUUCUGAAAUAAAUCUCAUGUCUAAAGAUCUUUAUAAGAAGCAAAAAUGGCCAAUUGAUAUAGAACAUGGAUGGGCAAUACGAGCAGCUAAUAACACACAAGGUGAAUUAUAUGGAGCUUGUCCAGAUGUCAAAAUUCGGAUUGGGGAUGUUGCGACGGAGCAACAUUUCUUCGUUCAAGAUACAACGUCUUAUCCGUUGAUUUUAGAACAACCUUAUAUCACGGCAAUAUGGAUGGAAACAAAAGUACUUGACGAUGAUUCUGCUUAUACAAGGGUACGGAGCGAAGAUGGGAGGAAAGCUGUAAAAUUUCUAACAGUACCUCCUAACCAUGAACGGAAUCGAGAUAGGUUGAAGGAGAAACCAUUGCCAAAGAUUGUUGAAGGAUUUAAGGAUUUUGGAGAGGUACCACUGUAAAGCGAGAUUAUGGAGGUACAAAAGAGGAGGUACUCUCGCGAGAUGAAGGUGUCUUUGAUGCGAGUUUUAUUGGUAUAUUGGAGAAUGGAAAUAUUAUGUAUAAGAAAGUUGAUGAUUUUAAAAGAAAAGAAAGAAAAAGAUUAUAUAAUAUUGAAGGUCAAUUACACAAGAUAAGUGCAUUGCAAGAGGAUGAGAGGAUUUUGGGUGUUUAUGAAGAAAAUGGACUGGAAGAUUCAUUGGAAUUGAUUACAUCUAUUGGGUUAGGGGAUAAUGAUAAGAUUGUUGAGAUUCAUUCGAGAGAGGUUUAUACCAUGCUGGAAUCUUUUCAAGCACCAGAAGUCACAAUAGAGACGAGAUAUAAAACGGCAGAUAAGAAGGUAAAGCCUGUUGCCGGACCAUUACCAGAGGAUUCUAAAGAACAAAUGGGAGAAGCAUCAAAAGAAGCAAGUUUUAGAGAUCCAAUGAGUAUUGGACAUCAAUUUACUGAAGAGACUUUUGAAGAAUUGAAGAUUGGUUCUGAUGGUUCUUUAUUACCGGAGGAAAUUACUUGCUUCAAAAAGAUGUUGGCUAAACAAGGUAGAUCGUUUGCCUUCGAAUCUCAUGAAAUUGGGUGUGUGGAUCCAAAUAUUAUAACACCUAUGGUUAUCUUCACUGUACCGCAUGUACCUUGGAAUCUAAGACCGAUUCCAGUACCUAAAUUGGUGGAACUAUUGAAAGAAAAGAUAAAGAUGAAAAUAUUGGAACCUUUAUUUGAACUGUAUUCUAGUCGAUGGUUCACGGUACCUAAGAAGAAUAGGUCACUACGGUUUAUUCAAGAUAUGCAACCGGUGAAUGCAGUAACUGUCAGGAAUGCAGGAAUUGGACCUAUUGUGGAUGAAUUUGCUGAGGCGUUUGCUGGAAGGGCGAUCUAUUCAAUGGGUGAUUUGUAUUCAGGUUAUGAUCAAUUUCAACUUGCCAAAAAAAGUAGAGAUAUGACAACGAUGAGGACACCGCUUGGAUUGGUUAGAAUGUGCACUCUUCCUCAAAGCGCGACCAACUCAGUUGCGCAUAUGAUGAAUGGGAUGAAUAAGGUAUUGAGAGAUUUUAUUCCGGAAAAGACUAUGCCUUUUCUGGAUGAUGUUCCUAUAAAAGGGUGCAGAGAAGGAGACAAGGAUGAAACUUUAGAUACGAGGGGGUGUCGCAGAUAUGUUGUUGAUCAUAUACAAGAUUGUGAAAAGAUUUUAACUCGGCUUGGAGAAGUUCAUCUUACAUUAUCGGAUAUGAAGUCCGUAUUUGGAGUACGAGAGGUUGUAAUUGUUGGACAUUUAUGUGGAUCUUACGGAAGAAAACCAGAUCCGACUAAAGUUGAUACAAUUGGAAGGAUGAAAGAGGAUUGUGAUUCUUUAACAGAGGUUCGCAGGUUUUUGGGUGUAUGUGUAUUUUAUCGAAUCUAGAUCCCUCAUUUUGCUCACAUAAUGGAUCCAUUAUAUGAACUGUUACGCAAGGGUUACCGAUUUAAAUGGGAAGAAAGGCAUAUUCAGGCAAUGCAAAGAUUGAAGAAAUUAUUGAUGUCACCUCCAAUAUUGAGGAAGGUUGAUUAUAAGUGCAAUAGACCAGUGAUUCUUACUGUAGACGCUAGUCUAAUUGCCGUUGGAUGGACUGUGGGUCAAGAUGAUUCAAAUGGGAGUAGAUUUGCAGUUCGAUUUGGGGCUAAAGUUUUAAGUAUUCGUCAGCGUGCAUAUUCGCAAGUCAAAAGAGAACUUUGGGGAGUCGUUUCGGCUAUGAAAGCUGAAAAGGACUAUUUGAUUGGGGCAGUAGUAGUAAUUGAAACAGAUUGCUUGCCAUUGCUUGGAAUGAUUAUUAACUGUUCAACGCCAGAUAUUGCAAUGUUGAGAUGGAUUGCUUAUAUUAAGUCACUAAAUCCAGAAUUUAAGCAUAUCACUGGGAAGGACAAUUUAGUAGCAAACAUGCUAUCUCGAGCAAGAUACGAGAGGGAGGACGAAAUGGUUGAAGACAUUGAUGAUGUCGGAUUGAAAUUCUAUUCAAUAUCAAAUCUCAACGGAGAAGACAAGCUAUUUCUUGAAGAAUCUUAUGAAGGAGAAUUAUUGGAUAUUAGUCAUUAUUUGAAUACCUUGACUAAGCAGAGAAAUUGGCCUACAGAAAAAUUCAAACAAAUAAGAAAAAAAGCAUAUGGAUUUUUACUUCGAGAUGGAUUCUUAUGGAAGAGCCCAAAGAAAGGAAUUGGGAUGCCACAACGAGUGAUAGGCAAAAGGGAAGAAAAACUAAAAUUAUUAAAGGAAUUUCAUGAUAGUUUAUGGGCAGGGCAUAGAGGAAUCUGGGCUACUUUUGCUAAACUCAAGGAACAAUAUUGGUGGAAAAAUAUGUAUCGAGAUGUGCUCUCAUUUGUAGAGUCAUGUGUAAUCUGUCAAUCGUAUUCUAAUAUCCGACACCGAGAUGGUCUUCAUCCUACGUAUCCUCUGGCUAUUCAUUUUAAAUGGGUUGUUGAUUUGGUUAUUAUACCGGUUGAGUUAUGGUAGAUGAGAUAUUUGGUUUUAGCUCGUGAAGAUUUAUCAAAUCAAGUAGAAGGAAGAGCAUUGAGGACAAAAUCUACAGAGGGGAUUUGUAGGUUUUUGCUUGAAGAUGUCAUUUGCCGUUACGGGUGCGUAGGAAAAAUCACUGCAGAUCGUGGAGAAUUAAAUGCACAAGAAGCUCGUAAGUUCUUUGAAAGAUGUGGAGUUAAACUAUCACUGACUACUGCUUAUAAUCCAGAAGGGAAUGCAAAAAGCGAAUGUGGUCACCCACCGAUUGUGAAAGCAUUGGUUAAAGCUUGUAAUGGGAAAGUUAAAGAGUGGCCACGGCUUUUGUCAUUUGCAUUAUGGGCUGAUCGAACAACACAUAGCUCGGUGACAGGAUAUAUGCCAGUAGAACUUAUGACAGGUCAAAAAUCAAUUAUGCCGAUUGAAGAAAAGGUACUUACUUGGAGUAUGCUACCAUGGGAAGAUGGAUUGACAAGAGAAGAACUUUUGGCUAUUAGGAUUCGACAAUUGGAGCAAAGAACGGAAGAUGUCCAGAUAGCAUUGGGAAGGUUAAAAAGAGCAAGGUUACAAAACAAGGCGCGAUUCGAUAAGCAACAUCGAUUGAGACCAAAAGCAAUCGAGGAAGGUGACUGGGUACUUGUUUAUGACAAUAGUCUGGAUAAUCAACAUAGUACUUUGUGGAAAUUCUCAAAACGUUGGUUUGGACCAUAUGUAGUAACAACUGUUCAUGGUAAUGCGACUUACUCAUUACGAGAGUUAGAUGGUACAAAAUUGAAAAUACCAAUUGCAGGGAAGCGAGUAAAAAUAUUUAAACGAAGACACGCAGAGAUGAAUAUGAAAGACCUUAAUGAAGGUAUAGAGAUUCCGCAGCAAGAAGAUGAAAGUGAUUUGGAUAAUGAAGGUGACGAAGACGAACUGGACAAAUACGUAGAGGAUAUAUUCUGAAUCAAAUAGCAAUUGAGUAAAUUGGUGCGUACAGGAGGAUGCACAGGUUCAGAGGGGGUGGAUGUUGUGUUCUAACACGAGUAUACAGUGAAAAUAAAAAGAAAGGGGAAUUUUAUUAAUAUUCAGUUACCUCGAAUAUUAGGAGCAUCGACCAACUCCAGUACAAAUACUGAGUGGUCAGGUUCAGUCACUCCGUUACAGUCAGCCGGGGCAUACUGAAAUGCUCCAUUCGAUUCCAAUAACGGGAGUCAGCAGAAAGAGAAGGACCAAUUCACACGAUGGGUUCGAAGAGCCAAUUGGAUCUAAUUUCGAGAAUCCAAUCCGGGUCCUCUUAUCCAAUAUGAGACCUGAAUUGGCCGAUCAACCCAAUACAGUCUAAUUACCGAAAAUCCAGGUCUUACUACGGGUCUUAGCUAAUCUGACGCGAGGACUAAUUUGACCCAAUUACGGGAACAUCCAGGUUACUACAGGCAUCUUUCCCAAUAUGGGACCUGAAUUGGUCGGGCGACUUAAUGUGGUCCGGAUUACGGGGUUCGAUUCUAUUUCAGGCUGUCUUGUUCUCUGUGCCGUUUUAGGGAACGUUGUUUUCGGUAAAUGGAUUUCUUAAAGGUAAAAACGGAGGAGAAAGCUCUGACGGCGAGAGCCAAUUUUGGAUCCAAGCUUGACGGCGAGAGCCAAUUUCGGAUCCAAGCUUGAGGUGGGAGCCAAUUCCGGAUUUAAGAUGGAAGAUUGAAGAAAUUCAGAGGAUAAGAUUAGGGGGGAUAUAGUUUUGAAAGGGGGUUUUUUUUUUUCUGUGGGGAAUCGGGGAGAGCUAGUUUUCAAGCUUUUGCAAGGUUACUAGUUCGGUUUUCAUUUGAGGUUUUUGAAGAUCAAAGGGAUUAGAGAGAGGAGCUUCAUGCUUCGGGUCGGGGAAGGAAAGACAGAGAAUUUGGAUUUUUCUUCUUCGUAGAGUUUUGGGAAGGCUGAGGCAAUCGCUGCUGAAGUCAGUAUUGUAAUGGUGAAUUGAGAUUUUUAAUGAAGUGGGUUUGAAUACUCUUGACUGUUUUGUGAAAUCGAGUUACGUUUGUGAUUGAAGGAUUAAAAGGGCGUCUAUAGGAUUGAGUAUGCGGAGUGAAUGAAAUUUAUUGGGUUAAUCUAACAAGACAGUCAGUGGAUACAAGAUCGUAAGUACAAAGCGGUAUUGAAGAUUAACAAUUUGGGUUGUUCGGGGUUCUCUGUAACGUCUAGAGACCUACCGGCUGGGGCAAAAAGGACUUUGACAAGCAGUCGAAGAGCAUCCGUAUAGAUUUACGGUACAUUAUUGCAGUCGUUUAUAUUCCAGCAGUCAAAACUGAUAGACUGCUUGACUAUCGACGAAUCUCCAUACUACCUUCUACAGCCAGACGCCCGACGCGUUCUCGAGCAGGAAAGCAUGUAAUACGACACCGCAACCUCUAAAAAAUGCUAGUAUACCUUCAAGUAGAGGGAUAAUCCACACUCUACUAAGAAAGAACUAGCUCUGAUAUCUCAAGUUAGUGUAGUUUUGACAAACUGUCACGGACACAAAAUACAGACUUGAAAUCUAACAAGAAGUUCAAGAAGAAGUGGCAGAACUAAAUUAAACAGAUGAGUACAAGAACAACACCAGAAAGGUGAGCUAGAACUCCAAGAGAUGUGUUGUCAAGACU